UACGUAGGUGGCAAGCGUUUGUCCGGAUUUACUGGGCGUAAAGAGCGCGCAGGCGGUCGAUUUAGUCGCGUGUGAAAGCCCCCGGCUCAACUGGGGAGGGUCACGCGAUACUGAUCGACUCGAAGGCAGGAGAGGGUAGUGGAAUUCCCGGUGUAGUGGUGAAAUGCGUAGAUAUCGGGAGGAACACCAGUGGCGAAGGCGGGUCGCUGGGCCGAUACUGACGCUGAGGAGCGAAAGCGUGGGGAGCGAACAGG
rnacentral:rRNA from 1 species